CUUCACUUUAUCUUAUGCUUGCCAGCUGGCUCCAAUCAGGCCCUGCCCGCCCAGGCAGAGAGGGAUAUUGGGAGGCUGGAGCAAGGAGGACAGACUUUCUUCCAAACUCGCUCAGAUAAACUGUCCCUGAGCAACUCAGGGAUGAGGGAAGUUAGAAGUUGGAGAUGGCUGAGUGCAAUAGUCUUCGGGACCAGAGUUUCCUGACAGUUGUCCCUGGAAAACCAGUGGAAACGUCUGUUGAGCACGCUGGCAAUGUUCAUCUGCAUCUCAUUAUUAUGCCAGAGAAAUAGCAGCCCAGCUCUCAGUUUGGUCCAGGAACAAAUUCGGUGAGCCAGCCAGAAGAGACUGGGAUGGUGCCGUGUUCAGUGGCCGGCAGCUCGCAGUGAGACAGUCUUCAGGAGGAUCCCAGCAGCUGUCGGUGAGAUUUCCCAGGAACGCUCUCAAAGGCUGUCCCAUGCACAAAAUUGCAUGUCCCUGUCGCUACUGGGGAAGAACAGAGAUCAGGUACAGACAAGCUCAAAAGGGUCUAAUUCUGUCAUCCAGACUGGAAUGCAGUGGUGAAAUCGUGGCUCACUUUCACUGCAGCCUCGACCUCCCUGGCCUCAGAGUGGAUGCAAUGGUUCAAAUGUAAAGGAAAUAGGAAAGUAACUCAGUGGACUGCAUUCAAAGGAUAAUGCCCAGACCUCCUGGAGUCACAGGGUGCUAGUGACUGUCAGGUGACACCCAUGCCUCCCGUCCAGAGGCCUCUGGCAAAGCCCCACACUCUCCUUUUGCCGGGGUCGUGCUUGCUGCAAAGUGAUGCCUGCUCAGGUUCUACACACAAUGUAACAGGCCUGUGAAAACCCAACUUAAUUAGAAGUUGGUGGCAUCUUUUCAAACAAACAUUUCCAGGAAGUAGCCACUCAGCAUUCCAGGCACCUCCAUACUAUUUUCCAUAGUGGCUGUACUAGCUUAUAUUUCCACCAACGUUGUUUGAGAGUCCUCCUUUCUCCACAGUCUCACCAGGAUCCGCUAUUCCCUGUCUUUUUUGUAAAAGCCAUUCUAACUGGGGUAUAAUUGGAAUAAAUGCAUUUAGAACUGGUAUUACUCCCACGUCAAUCCCCUGCAGUCUGGAGUAAAGACUACCAUGGUAGAAAGGGCCAAGUGGAGCUGUUGGAUCUGCCUGUUCCACCUCUGGACAAACUGAAUGGCAUCUUGGAUCAUGGAUUGAAUCCUGAAACAGAGGAAGGACACUGAAGGAAAGACUGGGAAAACCUGACUGAGAUAAAGAAAUGGGGGCUCAGAGCAGUCAAGAACAUGCCCCAAGUUAUUCGUCAGUGAGGCGGAAAUUGUGGUGUCCUUGUUUUCUGUGGGUCAGGAGAUCAGAAAUGGUUCUAUUUCAAGGUCUCUCACAGGGCUGCAAUCAAGAUGUUGGCAUGGCUGGGGUCUCAUCUGAAGGCUGGACUGGAGAAGAAUCUACUUCCAAACUUAUGUGGUAGUUGGAAGAAUUUAGUUCCUCAAGGCUGCUAAACUGAUGGCCUGUGUUCCUUGCCUCUGGGAUGGUAGCUUGCUUCAACAAAGUGUGCAAACAGAGAAGACAGAGAGAGUCCGCUAGCAAGAUAGAAGCCACAAUCUCUUGUAAUCUAUCAUUCUUGUUGUAUUCUACUGGUUAAAAAUAACUCAUUAGGUUAGCCUACUGGCUCUCAAGGGGAAGAGAUUAUACAAAGGCAUGCAUUUCUGGAGGAGGGAAUGAGGGCAAAGAAUUCUGAAAAGUCUGUCUUCCACAAUCUGAAGAACUUCUAGAAAGUAGGAGGAAGCGAUAUUGCUUAGGGAUGGACAACUUGGCACUGGUUAUGUGUUCCAAGUGAGGUAACCUUGUUCCCAAGAAUAAAGAGAACCAGACGACUGUAAACAUCUCCCUAAACUGAAAUGCAGACUGUUGUAUGUUCACCUGAAAUGAAUGGUGUAAGCUGAAUAUAAGAUUUUUGACAAAAUAAAAAUUUUGCUGUGUU